UGGGGAAUCUUGCGCAAUGGACGAAAGUCUGACGCAGCAACGCCGCGUGAGUGAUGAAGGUCUUUGGAUCGUAAAGCUCUUUCGGGAGGGAAGAAAUGGUCAUGUGCUAAUACCACAUGGCCUUGACGGUACCUUCAGAAGAAGCACCGGCUAACUCUGUGCCAGCAGCCGCGGUAAUACAGAGGGUGCAAGCGUUGUUCGGAAUCAUUGGGCGUAAAGCGAGUGUAGGCGGUCGAAAAGGUCGGGUGUGAAAUCCCAGGGCUUAACCCUGGAACUGCAUUCGAAACCGUUCGACUUGAGUACGGGAGAGGGUCGUGGAAUUGUCGGUGUAGAGGUGAAAUUCGUAGAUAUCGGCAAGAACAUCAGUGGCGAAGGCGACGACCUGGUCCGAUACUGACGC
rnacentral:rRNA from 1 species